UACGGAAGGCAGCAGUGGGGAAUAUUGCACAAUGGGCGCAAGCCUGAUGCAGCCAUGCCGCGUGUAUGAAGAAGGCCUUCGGGUUGUAAAGUACUUUCAGUCGUGAGGAAGGUGUUAAGGUUAAUAACCUUAGCAAUUGACGUUAGCGACAGAAGAAGCACCGGCUAACUCCGUGCCAGCAGCCGCGGUAAUACGGAGGGUGCGAGCGUUAAUCGGAAUUACUGGGCGUAAAGGGCACGCAGGCGGUUAAUUAAGUUGGAUGUGAAAUCCCCGGGCUUAACCUGGGAAUGGCAUUCAAGACUGGUUAGCUAGAGUCUUGUAGAGGGGGUGAAAUUCCAUGUGUAGCGGUGAAAUGCGUAGAGAUGUGGAGGAAUACCGGUGGCGAAGGCGGCCCCUGGACAAAGACUGACGCUCAUGUGCGAAAGCGUGGGGAGCAAAACAGGGAUUAGAUACC
rnacentral:rRNA from 1 species